UGGAGGAACACAGCUGGUAGAAAGCUUAACCUGGAGUCAGUGUUGCCUUCUUGGCCCACAGGAAGGGAGUCUCUCUUUCUGCUCUUGUUGCACUGUAUCCAGCAAUGAGUCCAGUGGGGGCCAGUUUGCUCACAAGCAGCCAGCAGUGUGUUGGUAUCUUCACAGGCCUUCGUUAGAAGAGAUUUUUAAUGUUCCUGGCAGCGUUAGCCUGAUGAAUUCAGCUGAAUGAAUUUAUCAUUUCAUUUAUCUACUGAAGAGGUGCAAAGCUUCUAGAAGAGCAGAGAAACCUGCUAGCCAGACUAUGAAAAUGUCUCAUAAACUGCAUUAUUACUUCCAACUUUAUUGUGUGAGGGCAAUUAUUUGGCUGCUUCUUCCACAUUUUCUCUUCUAUUUUAUGUAGUCUUACUAAAACGGAAACAAAGAACAACAAUCAAAUGUCGCAAGUAUUGUAGAAAGGAUUUAAUUUUGUAAUUGCAAUUUGAAUU
rnacentral:lncRNA from 1 species